rnacentral:rRNA from 1 species
CCUACGGGAGGCAGCAGUGGGGAAUAUUGGACAAUGGGCGAAAGCCUGAUCCAGCCAUGCCGCGUGUGUGAAGAAGGCCCUCGGGUUGUAAAGCACUUUCAGUGGGGAAGAAAGCCUUGGGAUUAAUACUCCCGAGGAAGGACAUCACCCACAGAAGAAGCACCGGCUAACUCCGUGCCAGCAGCCGCGGUAAU